rnacentral:rRNA from 1 species
UCCCAGACUCCUACGGGAGGCAGCAGUGGGGAAUAUUGGGCAAUGGGCGCAAGCCUGACCCAGCAACGCCGCGUGAAGGAAGAAGGCUUUCGGGUUGUAAACUUCUUUUCUCAGGGACGAAGAAAGUGACGGUACCUGAGGAAUAAGCCACGGCUAACUACGUGCCAGCAGCCGCGGUAAUACGUAGGUGGCAAGCGUUAUCCGGAUUUACUGGGUGUAAAGGGCGUGUAGGCGGGAGUGCAAGUCAGAUGUGAAAACCACGGGCUCAACCUGUGGCCUGCAUUUGAAACUGUACUUCUUGAGUACUGGAGAGGCAGACGGAAUUCCUAGUGUAGCGGUGAAAUGCGUAGAUAUUAGGAGGAACACCGGCGGCGAAGGCGGCCUGCUGGACCGAAACUGACGUUGAGGAUCGAAAGCGUGGGGAGCAAACAGGAUUAGAUACCCGGGUAC